UACAGAGGUCUCAAGCGUUGUUCGGAUUCAUUGGGCGUAAAGGGUGCGUAGGCGGCGCGGUAAGUCGGGUGUGAAAUCUCGGAGCUUAACUCCGAAACUGCAUUCGAUACUGCCGUGCUCGAGGACUGGAGAGGAGACUGGAAUUUACGGUGUAGCGGUGAAAUGCGUAGAUAUCGUAAGGAAGACCAGUGGCGAAGGCGGGUCUCUGGACAGUUCCUGACGCUGAGCCACGAAGGUCAGGGGAGCAAACGGG
rnacentral:rRNA from 1 species